rnacentral:lncRNA from 1 species
AGCCGCGCGGCCAGGGUAACCGCGGGCUCGCGUGGGUGCUGCUGGCUACCUGUACAACUUCGUGCUCCGGCGUCACCAGCUAGCUAAAUCCUCGCAACGGUUCUGGGCGAUAGGGGCCGUUUUUGUCCCCCUUCUUCAGCAGAUGAGGGAAUUUGUUUCAAAAAGUUGUUACCUGCUCACGGAAACAGACGUCCUAAGCUAUUAACACAAUCUCCAGCUGUGUUCUAACCAAGACAGGAACCGAAGGGAACAGUAAAAAAUCAUUUUCCGUGCUGCGCUGGGUCUUUUUCUUUGGAAUUUUAAGAAGUUCUGUGAGCUAAAGACCAAUGACUUCCUACAAAUCUUGAAGGACUCCAGGACUCAUCACCAUAGCAGACCAUGCAUCCUUUUUAAGAUGCUUGAUGUCCAGGACUUUGAAACAGCUGAUUUCUUUUUAACCACCUCUCAAUAGGAUUCAUGGAAAAAACUCUGACAAGCACAGAUUUCUGAAAACUUUAAGGUCAUACCACUGGACUCGGUAAAGAAGAUAAAAUUUGGGAACUUAAAACUUGGCAAAGAAGGAAAUCCUUUUGGCAAUAUCAUAAAGAGGCCCAUUGUCACCAGAAGUGUAUAGUUUCUAACAGAUUUAUACAUUGGAAGUUGAUUUUGCUCCUAAUUUCAACAUGCCUAAUGAAAUAAAUAAUCAAAACAGUCUAAAAUUCUUCCUCCUCUCUGCCUCCUGCAAAAAGACAGCGUCUGGUAUUGUCCAC